UAUGUAGGUAAAAAAUUGAAGCAGAACAAACCAGGCUCCAGCUUUGCUUGUCUGCAAAUGCCUGCUCCCCUCACCAUUCUCAGGAUGUUUGUAAUGGCUGUCCAUGACAAACACGGAUCAGAGGAUCCACCUCCAUGGACUCCUGUUCAUCGUUUUCCAGACACUGGGCAUGAAUUUACAGUUGCCCGUCCCUUCUUCCACAGGAGGUAGAUUCUCUUUUUCUCCUGGAGCCUCAAGAAUAGUUCCCUAUUCAUCCACGCCAGUCUUCUUCCGCGCCGGCUCAUUUUGCAGCUCAGGGGGACAGCCUGCUCCUGUGCCUUUAAGACUUCCUUCUUGAAGAGCAACCAGACAUCUUGUACCCCUUUACUCUCUAAGACAGCCCCAGGGGACUCUCCCUACUAGUCUCCUGAACAAUUCAAAGUCUGCCCUCCGGAAGUCCAAGGUAGCAGUUUUGCUGUUCCCCCUCCUGACUCCAGCAAGAAUCGAGAACUCUACCAUGUCAUGGUCACUCUGCCCAAGACAGCCCCCAACCUCUACAUCUCCCACCAGACCUUCUCUGUUUGUGAGCAGCAGGUCUAACGGGUCAGCUCCUCUUGUAGGUUCUCUUAUCAUCUGCAUCAAGAAGUUGUCCUCCAUACAUUCCAGAAACCUCCUAGACUGCUUCUUCUGUGCUAAAUUGUAUUCCCAGCAUAUGUCGGGGAAGUUGAAAUCCCCCAUGAGGACAAGGGCUGGCGAUUGCGCAGCUUCCGCCAGCUGCUCAUAGAUCACCUCAUCACUUGCAUGACCCUGCAUGUAUGCUAUCAUAAGGAAGGAUGGCUUGCUGAGUAGGAAUCUUGAAAAUCGUUCCUGUAAUAUUUACUCAUGAGAAUAAUCCUAUUUGCUAACCUGUUUAAACAUAUUAACGGAAUAAAACUUAAAACCAUGACAUGCAGUCCUGUUUUGCCUGAGGAAAUAAACCUUGCAUGUGGUGGU
ensembl:lncRNA